AGCAGCCGCGGUAAUUCCAGCUCCAAUAGCGUAUAUUAGUGUUGUUGCGGUUAAAAAGCUCGUAGUUGAAUUUCGGGAUUGGGAUAUAUCGAUCAUGGCUUUAGGGACAUGAAUCGGUGUGUGGUCAAUUCUCACCUUCUGGUGAAUCGGGAUGCUCUCGGGUGUUUCGGUGAACCAGGACUUUUACUUUGAAAAAAUUAGAGUGUUUAAAGCGGGCAUUUUUGCUUGAAUAUAUUAGCAUGGAAUAAUAAAAUAGGACGAUGGUUCUAUUUUGUUGGUUUUAGGACCACGUAAAGAUUAAUAGGGAUAGUUGGG
rnacentral:rRNA from 1 species